AGAUUUCCGCCCAUAAUCCAAGGCCACAAACACCUGGCGUUCAGCCACACCCACACAGUCCCAGGCCAAACCUCAGGUGCUCUGUGAAUCUCUUGACUGCCCUGACCAUGCCCCUGACUCUACUCAUAGCUGUUAGGUUCACUAUGAAUCCCUCUGACCCUGCCCAGACUCCGCCCAUAGCCCUUGGCCCCGCCCAUAAAGACUUUACCUGAUUCCUGCCUUGGCCCCGCCCUAGCCCUGCCCAAUUCCCCACAGCCCCGCCCCUAGUGCCAGGCCACACUCAUAGCCAUGGCUCCACCUCCGACCCUGUGACCCCGGCUCCUCCCCCAUGUGACUCAGAGGAUCUUCUACACAGUGAACCAGUCAUGGUCUGGGAUGAUCUUGCGGGAGGAGCUGAGGCACAGCUGCUUCCUGCAGGUGUGGGCGGGGCCCGGGAUGUGGGCAAGCUUGUUCUUCUGGACUUCUUGUGGGAGAGGUUUUCUGUCUUUGGACAGGACCUCCCAGGGAUGGGCAGGGCCUGGUUGUGGGCGUGUCCAACAUAGGAAGUGGUCGUUCAUGAGUCCUUGUCCAUUAGCCAGGCAGUAGGCAGUCUUAGGGUAUGGGCGUAUCUUGGGGUAUGGGUGUGUCAAGGACAGGAAGUGGGUGUGUCCUACAAGGGAGUAGCUGCAACAGGAAGUGACCACAAUUAGGUAGGCGUGACUUAGCGCAGAUGUGGGCGUGCCCCACACCAGAAGUGCUCCACUGGACACCCCUGGGUCGGUGGGCGUGUCCUGAACCUGGUCCUUGUCCCCUGCAGGCCAGCCAGACAUCAACCGCAUAACAUUCGUUCUUGUUCUUCUCCUGUGAGCAUUUCUAUGUCAUCUACUGCAAGUUCUGGGAGCUCGACCUGGACGGCGACCUCGCCAUAGACUGCCAUCUCUUCCUGGAUGAUAGACUGCGUCUUCUCUCUCCGGUGCUGUCACCCAGUGAGCAGCCUGGGAGGGCGCAGCCCCUGUGCAGUGCCAGGAAGCUGGGCUAUGCUGAACUCAUGUGGUGCCUGCUCUCAGAGGAGGACAAGAUCACGUGAGGGGCGGUGCCCCAGUCAGCCAUGCCUCCUGCUUGCUCCUUACCUCGCUUCUCUGUGGUCACGCCCACCAACUCUGGCUUCACCCUGACAUGGCCACGCCUAUAGGAUGCUCUGUCUCCGCCCCCCCCCCCCCCCCCCCCGCUUGAUCCUGGCUGACUGACCCCAACCACCGAUGCUAUGACCCCCACCUCAUGAACUCUGACCCUGAUCUCAUGACCCCGCCACCGUGACCCUGCUGACCUCUGACCCCUGAUCCUGCCCACAGACACCAUGAUCUCUGACCCUUACCCCUUGCCUCCACUCCUUGACUGUGACCCCGCCCAUUGACCCGCCCCCGUGACCUCUGACCCCCCAACCCCACCCACCCCCGCAGCACUGAGUACUGGUUCCGCUGCGUGGUGGUCGAGCUCGAGUUCUAUGAGGAGCAGGCCUGGCACAUGGCCCCCCAAGGCAUGGAGCUCCUCCUUUUCUGCCACCUCACGCACCAGGUGCUCGACCUCUUCGCCCCGAGCCCAGUGAGCAGACGGCUAGGAUCCCGGCCACGGGCAACCUCUGACCCUGUGGGGGACUCCUGACCCCUAGGGUUAGCCUGUAAAUUCCAGGGUGACCUCUGACACUACCUCCCCAUUGUAAGCUCAGGUUGCUUUGUGGGUGACCCCUGACCCCAGGUGACAACACGGGCGACCCCGUGUGUGACCCCAGUUUGACCCCUUACACCAGGUGUCGUCACGGGUGACCCCAGCAGGGGCGCCCUGUGCGUGACCCUUGUGACCCCUGACCCCUAGGUCGGAUCACGCUUUGUGGCCUGAAGCGCUUGAGCCUGGCAGGUGAGUUCUUUGAUGCCUUUUUCAGCAUGGACAAGUACCCCGCACAGGAGCAGUGCAAGCAGGCACAAACCCCGCGGGUGGGUGUGGCUGAGGGGGCGGGGCAUGUGGUGCGGGUGGUGUUGCAGUGGGCGUGACCAAAAUGUGGUCAGAGCGGGUGGGGGUGCUGGGCGGGGCCUGGGGCAGGGUCAGAAGAGGAAGUUGGAUGGACAGGAAGUGAUGUGAGAAGUAGGGAGAGGGCAACAGGAAGUGACUGUGGGGACAGGAAAUGCGGUCAUAGUGGGUGGGGCCUGCAUGGUUGUGGCGGGGGCCCUGGUUUUAUAGGGAGUGGGGGUAGUCAGGCAACUUGGGUGAUGGGGCGUGGGCAGGAUCAUCCAAGGGUGCCCCCUAGGGUCGAGGGGCAGGGCCUGAACUCAGGCAUUAUGGGAAGUGGGCGGAGUGAGGUGACCCGGGUCACAGUGUGUGGGCAUGGUCGCCGUGGGCGUGGCCUCGCGGAGUCACCCACACCCUGUCCCCGAGGAGGUCAUGGCGGGGGUGGGGGUGGGGGGACGGGGACAACGAUGAUGACAGGUGAGUGGGUGUGGGGUGGGAAGGGAGGGGCCGGCUCUGAGGUGGGGCCUGGGGUAGGUUGGCCUGGCCUGGCCUGGCCUGGCCGGGGUCUCUCCCAAUCUUCCUAUUCCACGCCUGUUCCCGCCCACCUUCACCCAGACCCCGCCCCUUACAUCACGGCCUUGCCCACUGUUACCUAGGCCCUGCCCCUCUAAUCCAGGCCCCGCCUGCCUGCCAUUUCUUUGGCCCCGCCCACUCUCGCCCAGACCCCCUCCCACACCCCCCACACCGCCCACCCCCUGCCACCAUCGAGCCCAAACACGCCCACUUUUCCGUGCAGCGCCCACCAUCACCCUGCCCGCUCUGACCCCAGGCCCGCCCACCCCAGGUCUGUCCGACAUCAUGGAUCUCUAUGGCCUCACUAACGAUGACUGCGAUGACUUGGAGCAGCUGUGACACCCUACUGUGUGCCCGGGAACGGUGCACAUGUGCCUACAAGGGCUUCCUCCCGAGGCCGCAGGUGACAUCGGGGGCUUAGGGCAUGGCCUCCUCCCCGUGGCCUGCGGCCCUACUGUGCACAGGGCGCUGCGCGUUAUAUUUGUGGGUUUUUUUUUUUUUUUUGAAUAAAGAGUUUGAGACAUUUUUUUCACCCCGGGACACGCAGUAAGGCUCUCGGGGGUGGGCGACUCGGUGGACAGUCAGGCUGACCUCCCACGAUCCCUCAGGAGAGUGACAAGCCCACUUCCUGUUUAGGGACCCCCCCCCCCUUCCAGUGUGAGACAAGCCCACUUCCCACACUCUUCCUCUUGUUCUCAUUGACAUGCGUGUCCCGCCCACUCGUUAGCAUAAAGCUGUUCGAUAUUGUCCGGGUAUCUCCUUAGCAUAGCUCUGCUCACCUGUUAUGCUUUCGGUUUUCUCUGCAGGAAGGCCGACUCAUUAGAAUAAAGCUCAUUAGUAUGCACGGGCAUCAUUAACACAUGCCGCCUCAUUAGCAUAGCCCCACCCACUUGUUAUAAUUUUGCUUUUUCUCUGAGAACCCCCACCUCAUUUGCAUAGGGUCCAUUAGUAUGUGCGGGUCCAUUUACAUGCACACCCUGUCCCCUCAUUAGCAUACUCCUCAUUAGUAUGCAUAGACGUCAUGAACAUAACAGGGUCGGGGUCAGGUAGGUUUAGGGUUAGGGGUUCGGGUUAGGGUUAGUGUUACAUGUGCACAUGUGUACAUGUGUGUUGGGUGUUGUAUUAGUCAGGGUUCUCUAGAGUCACAGAACUUAUGGAUAGUCUCUAGAUAGUAAAGGAAUUUAUUGAUGACUUACAGUCGGCAGCCAAUUCCCAACAAUUGUUCAGUCGCAGCUAUGAAUGGAAGUCCAAGGAUCUAGCAGUUACUCAGUCUCACACAGCAAGCAGGUGAAGGAGCAAGAGCUAGACUCCCUUCUUUCAAUGUCCUUAUAUUGUCUCCAGCAGAAGGUGUAGCCCAGAUUAAAGGUGUGUUCCUUGAACUCGGAGAUUCAAUCUUCUGGAAUCCAUAGCCACUAUGGCUCAAGAUCUCCAUACCAAGAUCCAGAUAAGGAUCUCCAAGCCUCCAGAUAAGGGUCACUGGUGAGCCUUCCAAUUCUGGAUUGUAGUUCAUUCCAAAUAUAGUCAAGUUGACAACCAGGAAUAGCCACUACAGGUGUGUUCAUGUGUACUUUUGUACAUGUGUACAUGUGUGUACAUGUUUGCAUGUUUGCCGCAUAUGUAAAUUGAAUAUUGUUCAAUAGAAAAUGGCCCUUUGACAACUUUUGAUUCUUACGAAUGACAGAACUUAAAACAUCACAUUUCUCCAUUCUGACCACAGCAAUGUUUUUCCAGAAGAGUGAACGAACACUUAGCAGGGCUCAGUGGUCACACACCACAAAUUGGGAAACAAAGGAGCGGUGUCAUCAAAAACCCCCUCUGACCAAAGGUCACAUGCUUGUCCUGAUGCAGUUGAGGACACAGAGGCCGGGUGAGCGGUGCCACCUUGUGGAUGAAAGAAGUCAGCGCAUCUGAGCCGUCCUCUCCCACGGGUGCCUUGGGGGCUUCACGUCUAUGAGUGGGAGGAGAGCUGAGUCACCACACCACAGAGCUCCUCUCUCAACAGAAACCCAGCCUCAGUGUUAAAGGAAGCAGACACCCGAUUUCCUGUAAGAUUAGUGCACAUCCAGAGGACUUUCAGACUCAAGAAAACGCUUGGCGACCCAGGGCCAGUGUCUUCCAUCCAGUCCAAUAGAACAAUGCCUCGAAAUAUCCACCUAAAAUUCAUGUCAGAUGUCAUGAGUCAUCCAAGCUAAUGGCAUAGUUUAUAAAAUGCCCUAGCGAGCACUUAGUUGUUUGUGGUUGCAGGACACAAAGAAGAAAGUGCGUGUCAUGGUGGUGGCCCACUGUUAGUCCAAAGUUCAGGUAGGAGGGCAGAAGCAGGUAGAUAUCAGGGAGCAGAACAUCCUGUGUACACACAUAGUUCCAGCUAAAUACAGAGACAAGUCUUUGACUACCAAAUACAAGUUUUAGUAAUUAACAUCCAAUAUGAGCAUGUCAUUGCAGAUGUGUGUCCCUUCUGAGUGCAGUGUAAGGUCAAACUUUAUCAUGCCAAGAUAACAUUCAUGAGAAAAUAAACCAGAGACACCAAGGAGAUUAGAACAGCAGUAAUAGUCUUGGAGUAAUGGCUCAGUGGUUAAGAACACUGGCAGUUGUUCCCGGGUUCCUGAGUUCAAUUUCCAGGAACCACAUGGUGGCUCACAAUUAUCUACAGUGAGAUCUGGUGCUCUCUUCUGGCCUGCAGGCAUGCAUGCAGGCAGAAUGUUGUAUAUGUAAUCUUUUAAAAACUAAAAUAAAGUAAAUAUGUUUGGAAAGCUACA
rnacentral:lncRNA from 1 species